UACGUAGGGGGCAAGCGUUAUCCGGAUUUACUGGGUGUAAAGGGAGCGUAGACGGCACGGCAAGCCAGAUGUGAAAGCCCGGGGCUCAACCCCGGGACUGCAUUUGGAACUGCUGAGCUAGAGUGUCGGAGAGGCAAGUGGAAUUCCUAGUGUAGCGGUGAAAUGCGUAGAUAUUAGGGGGAACACCAGUGGCGAAGGCGGCUUGCUGGACGAUGACUGACGUUGAGGCUCGAAAGCGUGGGGAGCAAACAGG
rnacentral:rRNA from 1 species